AUACUUACCUGGCAUGGGAGACACCUUGAUUACGAAAGAGGUUCACCCAGGGCGAGGCGAAGCGAGGCCAUUGCACACAGGCCAUGCUGACCCCGGUGAAUUCCCCAAAUGUGGGAAUCUCGACUUCAUAAUUUGUGGUAGUGGGAAACUGCGUCCAACCUCUACCCU